rnacentral:rRNA from 1 species
GGCGGCAGGCCUAACACAUGCAAGUCGAGCGCCCAGCAAUGGGAGCGGCAGACGGGAGAGUAACACGUGGGAACGUACCCUUCAGUUCGGAACAACCCAGGGAAACUUGGGCUAAUACCGAAUACGUCCGUAAGGAGAAAGAUUUAUCGCUGAAGGAUCGGCCCGCGUCUGAUUAGCUAGUUGGUGAGGUAACGGCUCACCAAGGCGACGAUCAGUAGCUGGUCUGAGAGGAUGAUCAGCCUCAUUGGGACUGAGACACGGCCCAAACUCCUACGGGAGGCAGCAGUGGGGAAUAUUGGACAAUGGGCGCAAGCCUGAUCCAGCCAUGCCGCGUGGAUGAUGAAGGCCCUAGGGUUGUAAAGUCCUUUCGACGGGGAAGAUAAUGACGGUACCCGUAGAAGAAGCCCCGGCUAACUUCGUGCCAGCAGCCGCGGUAAUACGAAGGGGGCUAGCGUUGCUCGGAAUCACUGGGCGUAAAGCGCACGUAGGCGGACUCUUAAGUCGGUGGUGAAAUCCUGGAGCUCAACUCCAGAACUGCCUUCGAUACUGA